GAUUUAUCAUUUGUAGGGACACUUAGCGAAAAAGGGAAAGACUACGACUUGCAGUAGUACCGGGUUGCAGGGCAUUGAAGGAAUGUUGGAGGAUAGUCAAGGAACCACUCCUUCAUAUACUUUUAGCAAUGGAAAACCGGAUUAUGGUGAUAUGUUUGACGCCGAAGAGGGGUUUUUUCAUGGACUCACCACCUCUGUUAGCAAUGGCUUCAAUGGCGUCAAUUCUGGUUGGAGCAGUGCUUUUAGUGAUCUUAUUUCAGAUCUGUACAGUCAAGCUGAGCAGAUAUCCACUGUAAAUUCUACUCGACAACCCACUGCAAAUGAAUUUAGUUCAACUCAGUUGGGCCUGAAUUCAGAUUUAGUAAAUGGUGAUGAUGAUUUGGAUGAAAAUGACUGGGAAUUCAAGGAUGCCUUCUAAGAAGGCACAGUUGGAAAUGGGAAUCCUGAAUUUGAGAUUGUAGAUGCACAUCAAAACUUUUCCGCUGAACUAAAGCUAAAGAAUUUUGUAGGUUUCUACUCUAGAUUGAAAGACGAAGCACGAUUUUUCAUACUUGACCAUCUUGAUGAUCUCAAGAAAGCCAAGAAGGAUGCUGCUCUUUCUAGUGAUGAAGUAAAGGUUAUGGCCUUUGAUAAGGAAAUUCAGUUCACUUUUGGGGGUGUGGUAUUUCUUCCUUAGGAUGCUUCAGUUUAGUAAUUCCAGCCAAUGGAGAUAUAUGUGGAUGAUGAGGCCAAGUUGACCUUGCAUGGUCUCGUACAGGUACUCGAUAGUU